UUACCACCUUGACAUGACAGAGAUUCUUAGAACAGGUGCUGCAUGGCUGUCGUCAGCUCGUGUCGUGAGAUGUUCGGUUAAGUCCGGCAACGAGCGCAACCCCACUUUAGUUGCCAGCAUGUGGGACUCUAAAGAAACGCCCGUGAUAACGGGAGGAAGGUGUGGAUGACGUCAAGUCCUCAUGGCCCUUACGGUGGGCUACACACGUGCUACAAUGGAGUACAGGGGAUCCCCAAACUGUCUCAGUUCGGAUUGGGGUCUGCAACUCGACCCCAUGAAGUCGGAAUCGCUAGUAUCGCAAACAGCAUGUGCGGUGAAUACGUUCCCGGGCCUUGUACACACCGCCCGUCACACCAUGGGAGUUGGUCACCGAC
rnacentral:rRNA from 1 species